CCCUUUUUCUUUCUUCUUUCUAUUUGCUUUAGGCUUAAUUUGUUGUUUUUUUAAAAUAUAAUCUCUGAAAUAGAAGCAGAUCAUGCUUAUAGCCUCUAAUGUAUGCAUUUAUGAACAUAAAUUUCUCUCAUAGCACUGUUUUAGCUGUAUCCCACAAGUUUUAGUAUUGUAGUAUUUCAUAUUCUUCUUCUUUCACAAUAUUUUAUUUUAAUUGCAGUUUCUUCUUUGACUUAUGGAUUGUUUUAAAAUGUAUAUCCUUUUAGGCUGGGCACAGUGGCUCAUGCCUAUAAUCCCUAUGAGAGGCUGAAGCAGGAGGGAAGAAUCACAGGAUUGCUUGAGGCCAGGAGUUCGAGACCAGCCUGAGCAAUGUAGCAAGUUUCUGUCUCUACAAAAAAAGUUGCUUUUUUUUUUUUUUUUUUUCUUAAUUGGCCGGGCACAUAGUGGCAUGCAUCUGUAGUACCAGAUACUCAGGAGGUUGAGACAGGAAGAUCACUUAUACUCAGGAGUUCAGGGCUGCAGUGAGCUAUAAUUUUCCCACUACAUUCCAGCCUGGGUGACAGAGUAAGAAGACCCUGUCUCAAGAAAAAAAAAAAAAUGUACAUCUUUGAUUUUGAAAAAUAAAAGCGAAAUUCUAAGCUCCAAAGAAAGAAACGUUAGGGCCCGAGAGAAAUCUUGAAAACUGAGUUAUCAGCCAUGGCAAGAAAGGAGGUCAGGCAUGUCUCAUGAUACCCCCUCCCUGGAAAACCACAAUGAGGCUUCCUUCCCAAAGGGCUAAACAGAAACCAGCCCUUUCAAAAGACUCCACCAUUGUUAUCAACUAACUACCUGAUGCUUCCUGCUUCCUUUUAUGGUUUCAGCAUAACUGACAAAUUUCUUCUUAAUAUGAAAACACCAACCAUGGAGGGGUCUGGCCAGUCUACAGAGAAGGAUUCAGAGAUGCCAAAAGAGAAGAUCCAGAGGGUGGGUGACCAGCAAAAGAAACUGAACUCCUGCAGUGUGGAGCUGCACAAGUUGCCUGGGCCAGGACUCAGAGAAGGUGAAGGAAGAGAUAUGAUGGGAGCUAAGAAGUCAAAGGGCUGCACUGUGGUCUAUGUCACUAGAUGAGCAGCAACAGAGGCAAUUUAGCAUGUUGCCUGCGGCCAUAACUCACCCUCACAAGGUAAAAAACAAUAUGGGGGACUUCUUCCGGACAAGGCCAAGG
rnacentral:lncRNA from 13 species